rnacentral:sRNA from 1 species
AUCGCCGCCGAUGAUGGUGCAGUUGUUUCUGAAUAACUUGCGGGCGUAUCAGGCGGGCGAGGCGUUGCGUGGGGAAGUGGAUUUCGCACGCGGUUACUGAUUUAGCGCGAUAAAAAAACGGCGGGAGCAAGCUUGCUCCCGCCGUUUUUUUU